UGGGGAAUUUUGGACAAUGGGCGAAAGCCUGACCCAGCAACGCCGCGUGAAGGAUGAAGUAUUUCGGUAUGUAAACUUCGAAAGAAUAGGAAGAAUAAAUGACGGUACUAUUUAUAAGGUCCGGCUAACUACGUGCCAGCAGCCGCGGUAAUACGUAGGGACCAAGCGUUGUUCGGAUUUACUGGGCGUAAAGGGCGCGUAGGCGGCAAUUCAAGUCAUCUGUGAAAUCUCCGGGCUUAACUCGGAACGGUCAGAUGAUACUGCUUUGCUAGAGUGCAGAAGGGGCAAUCGGAAUUCUUGGUGUAGCGGUGAAAUGCGUAGAUAUCAAGAGAAACACCUGAGGUGAAGACGGGUUGCUGGGCUGACACUGACGCUGAGGCGCGAAAGCCAGGGGAGCGAACGGGAUUAGAUACCCAAGUAGUCCCUGAGCGGGCUGGCAAGGCGCAU
rnacentral:rRNA from 1 species